UUGUCCUGUAGCUUAAGUCUUAAAGCAUAGCACUGAAAAUGCUAAGAUGGUAUAACCCUCCAACAAA
rnacentral:tRNA from 1 species